UACGUAGGGUGCGAGCGUUAAUCGGAAUUACUGGGCGUAAAGCGUGCGCAGGCGGUUCGUUAAGUUCGUUGUGAAAGCCCCGGGCUCAACCUGGGAACUGCAAUGGAAACUGGCGGGCUUGAGUGUGGCAGAGGGGGGUGGAAUUCCAGGUGUAGCGGUGAAAUGCGUAGAUAUCUGGAGGAACACCCGUGGCGAAAGCGAGUUACUGGGACAUUACUGACGCUGAGGAACGAAAGCUAGGGGAGCAAAAGGG
rnacentral:rRNA from 1 species